CAAUAUAUGAGACCGGCGCACGGGUGCGUAACGCGUAUGCAACCUACCUUUUACAGGGGGAUAGCCCAGAGAAAUUUGGAUUAAUACCCCAUGGUAUAUUUUAGUGGCAUCACUAGAUUAUUAAAGUUCCAACGGUAAAAGAUGGGCAUGCGUCCUAUUAGCUAGAUGGUAAGGUAACGGCUUACCAUGGCUACGAUAGGUAGGGGUCCUGAGAGGGAGAUCCCCCACACUGGUACUGAGACACGGACCAGACUCCUACGGGAGGCAGCAGUGAGGAAUAUUGGACAAUGGGCGCAAGCCUGAUCCAGCCAUGCCGCGUGCAGGAAGAAGCAUCUAUGGUGUGUAAACUGCUUUUGUACAGGAAGAAACACUCCCUCGUGAGGGAGCUUGACGGUACUGUAAGAAUAAGGAUCGGCUAACUCCGUGCCAGCAGCCGCGGUAAUACGGAGGAUCCAAGCGUUAUCCGGAAUCAUUGGGUUUAAAGGGUCCGUAGGCGGUUUGGUAAGUCAGUGGUGAAAGCCCAUCGCUCAACGGUGGAACGGCCAUUGAUACUGCCAGACUUGAAUUACUGGGAAGUAACUAGAAUAUGUAGUGUAGCGGUGAAAUGCUUAGAGAUUACAUGGAAUACCAAUUGCGAAGGCAGGUUACUACCAGUGGAUUGACGCUGAUGGACGAAAGCGUGGGGAGCG
rnacentral:rRNA from 1 species